CCUACGGGUGGCAGCAGUGGGGAAUAUUGGGCAAUGGAGGAAACUCUGACCCAGCACCGCCGCGUGAAUGAUGAAGGUCUUCGGAUUGUAAAGUUCUUUUCUAAGGGAAGAAGAAAGUGACGGUACCUUAGGAAUAAGCCUCGGCUAACUACGUGCCAGCAGCCGCGGUAAUACGUAGGAGGCGAGCGUUAUCCGGAUUUACUGGGGGUAAAGGGAGCGUAGGCGGGAAAGAAAGUCAGAUGUGAAAACUCAGGGCUCAACCCUGAGCCUGCAUUUGAAACUGUUUUUCUUGAGUGCUGGAGAGGCAAUCGGAAUGCCGUGUGUAGCGGUGAAAUGCGUAGAUAGACGGAGGAACACCAGUGGCGAAGGCGGAUUGCUGGACAGUAACUGACGCUGAGGCGCGAAAGCGUGGGGAGCAAACAGGAUUAGAUACCCCAGUAGUC
rnacentral:rRNA from 1 species